rnacentral:rRNA from 1 species
AUUGAACGCUGGCGGCAUGCCUAACACAUGCAAGUCGAACGGGGCACUUCGGUGCCUAGUGGCGGACGGGUGAGUAAGGCGUAGGAAUCUGCCUUGCGGUGGGGGACAACCUGGGGAAACUCAGGCUAAUACCGCAUACGCUCGCGAGAGGAAAGCGGGGGAUCUUCGGACCUCGCGCCGGAAGAAGAGCCUACGUCCGAUUAGCUAGUUGGUAGGGUAAAAGCCUACCAAGGCGACGAUCGGUAGCUGGUCUGAGAGGAUGAUCAGCCACACUGGGACUGAGACACGGCCCAGACUCCUACGGGAGGCAGCAGUGGGGAAUAUUGGACAAUGGGCGCAAGCCUGAUCCAGCAAUGCCGCGUGGGUGAAGAAGGCCUGCGGGUUGUAAAGCCCUUUAAGUGGGGAGGAAUGGUCGGGUGCAAACAGUGCCUGACUUUGACGUUACCCACAGAAUAAGCACCGGCUAACUCCGUG